rnacentral:rRNA from 1 species
GUGAGGAAUAUUGGUCAAUGGGCGAGAGCCUGAACCAGCCAAGUCGCGUGAAGGAUGAAGGUUUUAUGAAUUGUAAACUUCUUUUGCAGGGGAAUAAAGUACGGUACGUGUACCGUUUUGUAUGUACUCUGCGAAUAAGGAUCGGCUAACUCCGUGCCAGCAGCCGCGGUAAUACGGAGGAUCCAAGCGUUAUCCGGAUUUAUUGGGUUUAAAGGGUGCGCAGGCGGGUUGAUAAGUCAGCGGUGAAAGUUUGCAGCUUAACUGUAAAAUUGCCGUUGAAACUGUCGAUCUUGAGUGCAAAUGAGGUAAGCGGAAUGUGUUGUGUAGCGGUGAAAUGCUUAGAUAUUGGGAAGAACACCGGUGGCGAAGGCGACUUGCUGGCCAGCAACUGACGCUGAGGCGCGAAAGCCAGGGGAGCAAACGGGAUUAGAAACCCGUGUAGUCC